rnacentral:misc_RNA from 1 species
UUAACUAUUUGUCUUUUCUUCAGAGGACUUGUCACAGAAUUUUGGUCUUUCGGCAGGCAUGAUAGAGCCCGCCCUGGGCCCGCCUGCCGAAGCAACAGAUACAAAAAUCACAAGGGUUUGGAGUUGGUAACUCGGUAAUGAUCCCUCCGCUGGUUCACCAACGGAGA